rnacentral:rRNA from 1 species
GUGCUUAAUACAUGCAAGUCGAGCGGACAGAUGGGAGCUUGCUCCCUGAAGUCAGCGGCGGACGGGUGAGUAACACGUGGGCAACCUGCCUGUAAGACUGGGAUAAUUCCGGGAAACCGGGGCUAAUACCGGAUAAUUCUUUCCCUCACAUGAGGGAAAGCUGAAAGAUGGUUUCGGCUAUCACUUACAGAUGGGCCCGCGGCGCAUAAGCUAGUUGGUGAGGUAACGGCUCACCAAGGCAACGAUGCGUAGCCGACCUGAGAGGGUGAUCGGCCACACUGGGACUGAGACACGGCCCAGACUCUUACGGGAGGCAGCAGUAGGGAAUCUUCCGCAAUGGACGAAAGUCUGACGGAGCAACGCCGCGUGAGUGAUGAAGGUUUUCGGAUCGUAAAACUCUGUUGUUAGGGAAGAACAAGUACCGGAGUAACUGCCGGUACCUUGACGGUACCUAACCAGAAAGCCACGGCUAACUACGUGCCAGCAGCCGCGGUAAUACGUAGGUGGCAAGCGUUGUCCGGAAUUAUUGGGCGUAAAGCGCGCGCAGGCGGUUCCUUAAGUCUGAUGUGAAAGCCCCCGGCUCAACCGGGGAGGGUCAUUGGAAACUGGGGAACUUGAGUGCAGAAGAGAAGAGUGGAAUUCCACGUGUAGCGGUGAAAUGCGUAGAGAUGUGGAGGAACACCAGUGGCGAAGGCGACUCUUUGGUCUGUAACUGACGCUGAGGCGCGAAAGCGUGGGGAGCAAACAGGAUUAGAUACCCUGGUAGUCCACGCCGUAAACGAUGAGUGCUAAGUGUUAGAGGGUUUCCGCCCUUUAGUGCUGCAGCAAA